rnacentral:rRNA from 1 species
GAUGAACGCUGGCGGCGUGCCUAAUACAUGCAAGUCGAGCGAAGGGACGCAAAUUUUGCUUCGCUGUUGUUAGCGGCGGACGGGUGAGUAACAAGUGGACAACCUACCUAUAAGACUUGGAUAACUUCGGGAAACCGGAGCUCAUACCGGAUAAUAUUUUGAACCGCAUGGUUCUAGAGUGAAAGACGGUCUUUCUGUGAACUCUAGAUGGAUCCGCGCUGUGUUAGCUAGUUGGUAAGGUAACGGCUUACCAAGGCAACGAUGGAUAGCCGACCUGAGAGGGUGAUCGGCCACACUGGAACGGGGACAGGGUCCAGGGUCCUACGGGAGGCAGCAGUAGGGAAUCUGCCGCAAUGGGCGAAAGCCUGACGGAGCAGCGCCGCGUGAGUGAUGAAGGUCUUCGGAUCGUAAAACUCUGUUAUUAGGGAAGAACAUAUGUGUAAGUAACUGUGCACAUCUUGACGGUACCUAAUCAGAAAGCCACGGCUAACUACGUG